ACAUCGUAAAACAAAUCAUCGAAAUCUCAUUCUGUCUUUCUCAAACUUUCACAAUCUCUUUCAAAUCACUUACUUGAGCUACCUUCAUUCAAUUACCGCUUAGUAGGACACUCUCUUAACUUUUAUAACUUUCAUACUCUUUGGGCUUCUCGCCAAUGCGUCCUUCACCCACUUAUCUCAUAACUAUAUAAACAUCAACGGCAAAACGACGUCCCCGGCGUCAGUGGUUAGUCGGAAAUGGCAGAGGAAAAGGUAAGGAACAAAACCCAAGUGCUGGCUUCACCGGAAACCGGCGAAAUCACGGCGAAUCGAGGCGGCGAUUCCGCGGAACUUCAAAGCUUUGAUCGGUGGCUUUCCGAUCGAUUUCCAGCGGUAAGGACGGCAUGGAUACGUUGCUCGUCUCUCAAGCUUCAAAUCGGUACCAACCUUGACCGGAACGGUGGCCGGAAAUAGGAGAACCGGCCGGGUCGUGCUCGCAGGUCGGGUUGGAUCCGGUUCGGUUUCUCUUCUCUCUCUCUCUCUCAAUUUAUAUGGGUGGUCAACAGGGUCAAAAUCGGGUGUGGGGCAUUACAAACUCCCCCCCUUCAAAGAAUUUCGUCCUCGAAAUUCACUUGUAGUCAUGCUCACAGAAUUUAAACCUCAAGAAUUACUUGUGAUCUAUAAAUCCUUAUAAAGAUCAAAACCAACCAUAUCACACUGUCGCUGCGCUACUCUGAUACCUCAAAAAUAUAUCGUUCUUAGUAACAGAAUCACAAGUCCUAAUGGUUUGGCAUAGACUUAAUUCUAAUCAUCCUUGAAAUAUAUUUCCCAAGCGAUGGCGAAUGUGACUUCCAUCCGCACAUUUUCGGUUGGGAAUGCUCUGAUACCAUUUGUAACGACCCGCCCCGACCUCCACAGGGCAAAUCUUACUGAUAGAUGUUUAAAAAUAAAAUAAUAAUAAAUAAGAAUAAUCCUUUUACAAUCCAUAAAAAUCAUAUCCUUGAAAAUACAAAUAUAAAACGCAAACUGCAGCAGAAGAAUUUAAAAUUCAUGCCAAACCAUCUAAUUUCUCCAUUCAAGUUCUUCUCGACGCUCAUCACGAAUCAAUCCUGAUUUACGGAAACUGAAUCACAAUAAACUAUAAUGAGUACGAAACUCAGUAAGUAAACUAGUUUUGCAUAUACCAAAAUACAUACAUACAUAUAUAUAGUGCACAUGAAUGACGUGCCAUGAUAUUCGAAAACAUCGUAAAACAAAUCAUCGAAAUCUCAUUCUGUCUUUCUCAAACUUUCACAAUCUCUUUCAAAUCACUUACUUGAACUACUUUCAUUCAAUUACCGCUUAGUAGGACACUCUCUUAACUUUCAUAACUUUCAUACUCUUUGGGCUUCUCGCCAAUGCGUCCUUCGCCCACUUAUCUUAAAACUAUAUAAACAUCUAGAGUAUCCUCCACUAAGCCAGUAACUAAUUCAAGCAUCCAAGCUAAAACUAUAAAACAAUCUUUCUUUCUUCAAAUUUCGUUUGCUAAAAUCAACUUUCUCAUUUUACAGAAAAUAUAAUGCAUUUUUGUGCUCAUGCCAAUGAAAUAUUCACACAUACGUAUGCCCAUGUCCAUAAAUACACAUAACAACAUAUCAUAUCAACACAUCACAUAAACACAUGGGCAAAACAUAUAAAUCAAUAUUCGGACAUAUACAAAAAUAGGCUUUUCAAACAUGUCAAACAUAUAUAUUGUUUAUUGUGAUUCGUUUGGAAAUCUAAUUUACUUACCUCCUGGCAUCCUCGAGUAACAAAUGCAUAUCGUUAUCAUCGGCGUAAAAAUAAAUAAAAAUACUCUCAUAAGAAUAAAAUUAAACCAUAAUCAUAAACUCCAAUAUUCUCAAAUUCUCAAUAUAAUCACAUUCCAUACUUAACCUCAAAUAAUCUUAAUUUAAAUCAUAAAUCAUCAAAAUACUCAUAAUUCUUGAAAUUACGAAAUUACCCCCAAAUUUCAAAAUUACCAAAAUGCCCUUGAAUUCAAUAUUACCAAAAUACCCUCAUAUAUCAAAAUUACCAAAUUAACCUCAAAAUCAUAAAUUACCAACUUUAUCCUCAAUUUCAGCAAUUACUAAAAUACCCACAAAAUCUGAAAUUACAAAAUUGCCCUUAGACUGUGAAAUUGCCGAAAUACCCUUGCCGGUCAACGGUCACCGGAAUUUGGUCAACACUGGCCAGGAAGCUCAAAUCUUAAAGUGCUAAUCACGCUGAGUUCAAUGGUGGCGGUGAUGACCUCCCACGCGCGGUGAUGGCUCCGGAUUGAGCUCCCGAAGUCGUGAAACUGUCAACGGCCGAUCAAUGGCAAAACGACGUCCCCGGCGUCAGUGGUUAGUCAGAAAUGGCAGAGGAAAAGGUAAGGAACAAAACCCAAGUACUGGCUUCACCGGAAACCGGUGAAAUCACGGCGAAUCGAGGCGGCGAUUCCGCGGAACUUCAAAGCUUCGAUCGGUGGCUUUCCGAUCGAUUUCCGGCGGCAAGGACGGCAUGGAUACAUUGCUCGUCUCUCAAGCUUCAAAUCUGUACCAACCUUGACCGGAACGGUGGCCGGAAAUGGGAGAACCAGCCGGGUCGUGCUCGCGGGUCGGGUUGGAUCCGGUUCGGUUUCUCUUCUCUCUCUCUUCUCUUCUCU
rnacentral:lncRNA from 1 species